rnacentral:rRNA from 1 species
UAUACUGCAGUCGAGCGAGCAAAGUUAAAGGAAUACUUCGGUAGGAAUUUAAUAGCGCGAGCGGCGGAUGGGUGAGUAACACGUGGGCAAUCUACCCUUUAGCUUGGGAUACCACUUGGAAACAGGUGCUAAUACCAAAUAAGAAGUAAGAGCGCAUGCUCAAGCUAUGAAAGGCGGCUUUCGAGCUGUCACUAAAGGAUGAGCCCGCGGUGCAUUAGCUAGUUGGUAAGGUAACGGCUUACCAAGGCAAUGAUGCAUAGCCGAGUUGAGAGACUGAUCGGCCACAUUGGGACUGAGACACGGCCCAAACUCCUACGGGAGGCAGCAGUAGGGAAUCUUCCACAAUGGACGCAAGUCUGAUGGAGCAACGCCGCGUGAGUGAAGAAGGUUUUCGGAUCGUAAAGCUCUGUUGUUGGUGAAGAAGGACAUGGAUAGUAACUGAUCUAUGUUUGACGGUAAUCAACCAGAAAGUCACGGCUAACUACGUGCCAGCAGCCGCGGUAAUACGUAGGUGGCAAGCGUUGUCCGGAUUUAUUGGGCGUAAAGCGAACGCAGGCGGGAGAACAAGUCAGCUGUGAAAGCCCUCGGCUUAACCGAGGAACGGCAACUGAAACUGUUUUUCUUGAGUGCAGAAGAGGAGAGUGGAACUCCAUGUGUAGCGGUGAAAUGCGUAGAUAUAUGGAAGAACACCAGUGGCGAAGGCGGCUCUCUGGUCUGUAACUGACGCUGAGGUUCGAAAGCAUGGGUAGCGAACAGGAUUAGAUACCCUGGUAGUCCAUGCCGUAAACGAUGAGUGCUAAGUGUUGGGAGGUUUCCGCCUCUCAGUGCUGCAGCUAACGCAUUAAGCACUCCGCCUGGGGAGUACGACCGCAAGGUUAAAACUCAAAGGAAUUGACGGGGGCCCGCACAAGCGGUGGAGCAUGUGGUUUAAUUCGAAGCAACGCGAAGAACCUUACCAGGUCUUGACAUCUAGUGCCAACCCUAGAGAUAGGGUGUUUCCUUCGGGA